AAUCACUCACCCAUCCAUCCAUCCCAAGACCCCCUCGCAUGAACCUCCCUAGCUUGCCAUCGACCACACUAAUGGCCUUCUCUACGAUUGCGCCGCCCAUCCUGGUCAGGUGCGCAGGUGCGCCUUCAUGGCAUUAGAUGGCCAAGCCCAACUUCCCCUCUGUGAUUGCUACUUCGACGGGUUACGUCCCAUGUUGGAGUAGCACCAGAAGGCCGAACAACAAGCAGUGGAUUGGUGUUCCAAUCUUUGAAGAGCCCCUGACCGGAGUUGAAGUUGCAGGAAGCACAUAAGAAGUUUGGAAGAAGCAUCACAUAUGUCUGCAUGGCAACAGUGCAGGGGACUAGGUCCUCGCACUUUUGAUUGCAGUGCAUGUCACUGGCCGCGGUAGAUGGUGUGGAGCUUACUGACCAUCAUAGAAGCAAAUUUUAUAUUUAGCGGAGACAGAUGAUCAUCACCAUGGAAGCACUCCCCUUGUUAUUUUAUAUGUUAUAGUUUUUCUUUUUCUUUGUAAUGGUUGUAUGGAAGCAAUUCUUCUAGUCUAUGAAAAUAAUAUCAUGAUGAUCUGGAAGAAAAGUAUAUAUCUCUCCAAGCAAGGCAUCAAUUUUGUUGCAAGAAGGCAAAUUCUGAGUUCUUUCGG